AAAUGAUGUUCAGAGAGGCUUGGUGUCUUUUUAAGUGUGAACACUUUUUGUUGUGAGAAGGAAUCAACUCCAGGCUUAAACAGAACAUCCAAGGUCUCCUCCCAUGGCAGUGAUCAGCCUGGUAACACAGCCAAGGUGCAACUCUAAGGAUGGACUCAUCAUCUCCUGGGCUGUCUGAGACAUGCUUGUUCUGAAGCCUAUCAACAUAUUUAAGUACUGUAA
rnacentral:lncRNA from 1 species